AAUGAACGCUGGCGGCAUGCCUAACACAUGCAAGUCGAACGAAGGCUUCGGCCUUAGUGGCGCACGGGUGCGUAACGCGUGGGAAUCUGCCCUUGGGUUCGGAAUAACAGUUAGAAAUGACUGCUAAUACCGGAUGAUGUCGUAAGACCAAAGAUUUAUCGCCCAAGGAUGAGCCCGCGUAGGAUUAGCUAGUUGGGGGGGUAAAGGCCUACCAAGGCGACGAUCCUUAGCUGGUCUGAGAGGAUGAUCAGCCACACUGGGACUGAGACACGGCCCAGACUCCUACGGGAGGCAGCAGUGGGGAAUAUUGGACAAUGGGCGAAAGCCUGAUCCAGCAAUGCCGCGUGAGUGAUGAAGGCCGUAGGGUUGUAAAGCUCUUUUACCCGGGAUGAUAAUGACAGUACCGGGAGAAUAAGCUCCGGCUAACUUCGUG
rnacentral:rRNA from 1 species